rnacentral:rRNA from 1 species
UACAGAGGUGGCAAGCGUUGUUCGGAAUUACUGGGCGUAAAGGGCGCGUAGGCGGCCUACUAAGUCAGACGUGAAAUCCCCCGGCUUAACCUGGGAACUGCGUCUGAUACUGGAAGGCUUGAGUUCGGGAGAGGGAUGUGGAAUUCCAGGUGUAGCGGUGAAAUGCGUAGAUAUCUGGAGGAACACCGGUGGCGAAGGCGGCAUCCUGGACCGAAACUGACACUGAGGCGCGAAAGCCAGGGGAGCAAACGGG